GGCCUUCACAGAGUCAAGUGUGAAACAGAUGAUGCCAUUCUGACUCUCGUGCCCUAUAGCUCGAUGUGCUGGACGGAGUCCUGAAGGUGGUGAUGUCUCCAGACGGCCAGGCUUCAGAGACACAGCCCCAGGAGGGCGAAGACAGCUUGGGCUCAGCAAACCUGGUGGAGCAGCUGGACACUGAGGAACCAGAGCAGUCCAGGCUGCCCCAGUACCUGGAGCGGUUUCAGGCCUCUCGGUCCAAACUACAGGAGUUGAACAGAGUUGAGUCGGAAAGCCUUCUGACUCUGACCACCCAGCUUGUAAAAGAAAACCUCUCCGCCUGUGAAGCCCAGGACCUGGCCACUUACGAGCAGAAACUUCGAGAGUGGCACC
rnacentral:lncRNA from 1 species